rnacentral:sRNA from 1 species
CAGUCCAAUACUCAGGAUUGGUGAAGUUCAUAGGUCAGAUCGAGACUUCAUCUUCCCAGAACGAGUCCACGGUGUAUGUAGGCAUUCUAUUAGAUGAACCAAUUGGAGAUUCUGACGGCGAGUACAAAGGAGUGAGGUACAUGUUUACACCACCGGGCUAUGCCAAGUUUUGUCAGCUUCGAGAGCUUGAUACUGUUUUAGACGUUUCGCUGGGUGUGUAUGUGCCGAUCAGCAAGUUGGUAGUAACUCGAUAUCAGGAUUAUAUUAGCACUAAGGUGGACAGUGGUCAUCAAGUGUCAUCGUCCAGUAGUUCAAGUGACAAGGUUUAUCAACCGAUUCAAGUCUGAUGACAGAAAGCCAGUAGAGUGUGCUAGUAUUUGGUUUGUCAUCCGCUGAUCAAUGCAGCCAGCAGUUCUUCUAGAUCUUCCAUCAUUCAACAUAAUUAUUCUAGCUCAGUGCAGUUGUCUCUCGGGAUAUCUUGAGGAACACUUUAUCCCCGUUUCAUUGACACCGCUGAAAAGUUCCAAACGCUCACACCUGAUAGCGUACGUCUUUCAAGGAGGUUUCCAACUUCCAAAGUUUCUGAAAACAAGAUUUCUUUUAAUUUGUAAUUGUAACCAAUGUAUUAGCCUAUAUCUAAUUGUCAACAUCUAAGUCCUAAAAGUUUUACUAAUGUAAUAAUUCAUAAACAAAAAGGAUUUAGAUCUAUGCCACUGUUUAAACGUAUAUCAUGAGCCAGAACAAUAAUGCCUUGUGACAUUGCUUUACUGAGCGUGUGCCAAGGGCAAUAACACUUUGCUUAAUUUUCUCCCUUCGUUAUAAGUUCGUGGAACCUUUUGAGCACAUCAAUUGACUAUUUAUUAAUAUUCUAUUGUUAUUGUUAUAUUGCUAUAAUGCAUAAUGCUGAUGGAAGUAUGCAUUUUAAUUUUUGGAAUAUAUUAAUGCCAACCAUAGAUACAUUUUAUGUUCCAUUUUGUAAUAUCCCUCCUUUCAUUUUAAAGUAUCAUUAUGUUAUUCCUGUUACAAGCCUAUCUUCAGAUAUCUCCACAUCGGACACAAACUCAUCUACUCUUUAUUGCUAUGGAUGUCUAAACCUGUUGGGCACAUGUGACCCAUCGACCAUUAUGUCUACUCCGUCUCAAAUUCUUUGGCCAGCCUCUUGUUUUUUUUUUGUUGUUUUUUUCAUUCACCAGAAUGAAAUCGUAUUAAAACAGAGAAUAUUCCAUUAGCAUACUUUCGAACUUUACAGUUGGCUUACUGUCUGGUUACACUUCAUAUAGAAGAAAAAUUGUAAAACUUAGAAUGUUCUGAAAACAACAAAAUAGCCCCAGAUCUUUAUAAGUUGCUAUUUAGAAUUGAAAUCUCUGAUCUCAUUUUUUAAAUGAAAUACGGGCUUGUAGUUUUAACAUCUUUGAAAUUAGUUCACACUUUUGUUGUUCAUUUCUCUGUUUGGCUCUUGACACCAACACUGGCCAUAGAUGACGUCUUUUACUGUAUGCCAUGCACCUAUUGUUGUUUAUAAUUUCAACUUGCUUAUAAUAUUUGUCAACAUUUUAAAUUAUUACAAUUAUUACAAUACAGUAUUGAAACUUU